UCGGGUAUGGUGUAGCGGUAACAUCGUUGACUCUCAAUCUUCAGAUAGAGAAGUCACUCAACAGCCCCGGGUUCGACUCCCGGUAUCCGAG